rnacentral:rRNA from 1 species
AGAGUUUGAUCCUGGCUCAGGAUGAACGCUAGCUACAGGCUUAACACAUGCAAGUCGAGGGGCAGCAUGAAGGAAGCUUGCUUCCUUUGAUGGCGACCGGCGCACGGGUGAGUAACGCGUAUCGAACCUGCCCUGUACACGGGAACAGCCUUGCGAAAGUAAGAUUAAUGCCCGAUGUUGAGAUUUCGCCGCAUGACGGAGUUUCCAAAGAUUUAUCGGUACAGGAUGGCGAUGCGUCCCAUUAGCUUGUUGGCGGGGUAACGGCCCACCAAGGCGACGAUGGGUAGGGGUUCUGAGAGGAAGGUCCCCCACAUUGGAACUGAGACACGGUCCAAACUCCUACGGGAGGCAGCAGUGAGGAAUAUUGGUCAAUGGUCGCGAGACUGAACCAGCCAAGUAGCGUGCAGGAUGACGGCCCUCCGGGUUGUAAACUGCUUUUAGUUGGGAAUAAAAGGGCGUACGUGUACGCCGAAUUGUAUGUACCAUCAGAAAAAGGACCGGCUAAUUCCGUGCCAGCAGCCGCGGCAAUACGGAAGGUCCGGGCGUUAUCCGGAUUUAUUGGGUUUAAAGGGAGCGUAGGCGGGUUUUUAAGUCAGUUGUGAAAGUCUGCGGCUCAACCGUAGAAUUGCAGUUGAAACUGGAAGCCUUGAGUGCACGCAGGGGUGCCGGAAUUCAUGGUGUAGCGGUGAAAUGCUUAGAUAUCAUGAAGAACUCCGAAAGCGAAGGCAAGUGCCUGGAGUGCAACUGACGCUGAGGCUCGAAAGUGCGGGUAUCAAACAGGAUUAGAUACCCUGGUAGUCCGCACGGUAAACGAUGGAUACUCGCGGUGCGUGAGUCAUUGUGCGCCGCCAAGCGAAAGCGUU